UACGUAGGUGGCAAGCGUUAUUCGGAAUUAUUGGGCGUAAAGCGUGCGUAGGUGGUUUCUUAAGUCCGAUGUGAAAGCCCAUGGCUCAACCAUGGAGGGUCAUUGGAAACUGAGAAGCUUGAGUACGAAAGAGGAGAGUGGAAUUCCACGUGUAGCGGUGAAAUGCGUAGAGAUGUGGAGGAACACCAGUGGCGAAGGCGACUCUCUGGUUCGAUACUGACACUGAGGCACGAAAGUGUGGGGAGCAAACAGG
rnacentral:rRNA from 1 species